ACCUUUUUACCACUCGUGGGAUCCAGAGGAAGACUGCAGAUCACUACUCUCAACCAGACUGAGACCAUCACCCUCAAACUGGACUACAAUCACCACUUUUGACCAGACUGCAACAGCUCUCCCACCAGCAGGUUUUCUGAAGGUCAGCAUCUGCAAUUCUAUGAUUAUACUGGGGAAAGGGAAGAAAAAGGCUAAGUAUAAGCAUGAAGACUAUUGUGCUGACACCAACAAGCUAUACAACAUGUAUUUGGUAUCCUCAUUGUUACCAGCUGAAAUUUAGAAGAAUUAGCAAAUAAACUCUUUAAAUGAACCACCCCAAACAUGCAUUCAAGAAUUUUCAAAGAAGAAAGCAUUUCUCUGAAACCAACAAGCACUUCAAAAAACAAAUAAAAAAAAGCCCUAUUGAAGAAAAUGCUAAAUACUGCUCUCUGAAGAGAAAAAUAUGAAUGCUGAAGAGACAUAGGAACAUCAGUCUGCACUGCCUUAGCACAGACAAGUGUUCAUGCGGCUACAAAAAAGAGUGAACAAUAAAAUUACUGUGGAAUGAGGAGAGCUUCAGCAUGCAAGAGUCAAGCCACACUUAUGAACAAGGAAUCUCUAUUGUAUCCUUUUCCUUGAUUGCAUAGUGAGGAGAUUGCUAGAAGAUUGUGUAAGAUAAUUUCUAGUUGCAGGUGGCAAAUGGAGAGACUGUUACUGUCUGUAUCUGGGAGAACAUCAAACAUUCACAUCUGGAUGGGAUGAAAAGGAAGGAAAUCCUGAUUAAAUACCUAGUGAAAAAAAUCCAGUCUUGCAAGGUGGAAUAUGCUAGCAAUUGUCACUGAAGUAAAGUGGAAUAACUGACAUGAGGGUCUGGACAGAGGACCACCCUCACCAUAACAUGGGAUAACAGAUCCUUACGGUAUGAAACAAAUAAUAAGGCUUUCUUAGUAGGUAUGUAUAUAUACAUAUGAAAUAAUAUAUAUAUAUGAAAAAACAGUUAUUAAAUAUAUUAAUUAUGCACGCUCAUGUAAAUUCUUCAUCUUGAUUGUGCUGCUCCCAGCUGGACAAAAAAAAUAGCUCAGAUGGCUGAGUUUUUCUUUUCAGUGAUUUUUACUUUCAGGCUCAUUGUGUUGUAAUACCUGGUUCUGAAAAGCAGGAUAAGGUUAUGGAGGUCUGGUGGGCUUCAGGUUUCUGCAUCUUCAUGUAAAACUUUCAGUUGUUAUUUUGGUUUUCUAAAUGGCUGUUUUGUAAACAUCUGUAUUACAAGGUAACCUUCUACUACAAAAGACCUUUUCGACCCAAAGACACAUUUGAAGCAGUGGACGGUCCGUUCCUGUUCUCCUGCCUGGAGAUGUGAACACUUUACAAAGAAACAACAGUUCAAACAGUUCUCUCCUAUGCUAUCCCCAUUUUCAUCUUCCCUCACAACUAAUCUCCAGAAGAAAGCAUGCAACUUCUGCACUGAUACAAAACUUCAAACACAGAUGGCUUUUUUGCUCACAUUGUUACUGCCAUUACCUGACGGUUUGGGUGUGGUGGCAUGGGAUAUUCCUCCAUUGUGCUGUGCAUUGUCACCAGUUGUGAAAUCCAGGCUCAUACGGGGUUUGGGCUGGUAUUCUCGCCUGGGCUGAGAUGAUGCCUCUUUUAUUCUACCAAAACAUUAAAUGUCAAGAGUUAGUAUCUUGUUAGCAGAUGAGACACACCAAACAUCUUUAUUUCCAUGGCUGAAGUUCUCAUCAACCAAUCAUCCACACUAAACAAUUUUUGUCAUUUGGAGUAGUGUAUUUUGUUUACAACAAUAAUUUAAAUUACCAAAAAACAGCUGGUGUGAGGCUGCUAAUUUUUCUUUCCUUCCAGAAACCUAGUAUUUUGCCUGUCUUCCUUUUGUCUCACAAUAACAAAGAGCUUCUAUGGAGAAAAACUUGGUACAUGAUUAUCAAUGCUUACAAAAGGGCUUUAUAAACAUCUCUGUCCCCACUUUAGCAAGAAUUUUGCUUCUAUCCCUGGCAAGCAUUAACUAUUCAGCUCGUUGGUGCCAACUCUUGUCAUUUUGGGAGAAGACUGUGGGAAUGUACUGACUUCAGUUGAAAGCUUGGUUAAUUUGCAGUCUGGAAUACCUGUUUCACAAAGGGACAAAACUCCAGUCUUCCUGACUUUCAAAAAUUUUAUAUAUCAUUCAUUUCAACUUAUUCUUUUAAUUGAGAUAUCUAGAAUUUCUAGGAAAGGGUACAUUUUAGAUUUCCGUGUAAAAUCCAGGCAAUGGAUGAACAGCUUAAGUAGAACAACAUAUAUUUCUAAUACCACAUAUGGAAGAAUACUUGAGUCAAGACCUCUAGAUUUAAAAGACAAAUUGGUUUCUCUAAUCUUUUCUAGAUCUGCCCUAGACUUGCUGUUGAUAGCACAUUUUGAUUUAUCUAUUGAAAAGACU